UACAGAGGGGGCAAGCGUUGUUCGGAAUUACUGGGCGUAAAGGGCGCGUAGGCGGCCUUCUAAGUCGAACGUGAAAUCCCCGGGCUCAACCCGGGAACUGCGUCCGAUACUGGAAGGCUUGAAUCCGGGAGAGGGAUGUGGAAUUCCAGGUGUAGCGGUGAAAUGCGUAGAUAUCUGGAGGAAUACCGGUGGCGAAGGCGGCAUCCUGGACCGACAUUGACGCUGAACGGCGAAAGCUAGGGGAGCAAACGGG
rnacentral:rRNA from 1 species